rnacentral:snoRNA from 1 species
UGGACCAAUGAUGAGAAUGAAUCAUGAACCAAGGAUUAUAAUUAAUCCAAUGCUCUGUACCUGAGGUUCUCC